rnacentral:rRNA from 1 species
UACGGGGGGGGCAAGCGUUGUCCGGAUUUAUUGGGCGUAAAGAGCUCGUAGGCGGCUUGUCGCGUCGGCUGUGAAAUCCCGCGGCUCAACUGCGGGUCUGCAGUCGAUACGGGCAGGCUAGAGUUCGGUAGGGGAGACUGGAAUUCCUGGUGUAGCGGUGAAAUGCGGAGAUAUCAGGAGGAACACCGGUGGCGAAGGCGGGUCUCUGGGCCGAUACUGACGCUGAGGAGCGAAAGCGUGGGGAGCGAACAGG